GAUGAACGCUGGCGGCGUGCCUAAUACAUGCAAGUCGAGCGAACGGACGAGAAGCUUGCUUCUCUGAUGUUAGCGGCGGACGGGUGAGUAACACGUGGAUAACCUACCUAUAAGACUGGGAUAAAUUCGGGAAACCGGAGCUAAUACCGGAUAAUAUUUUGAACCGCAUGGUUCAAAAGUGAAAGACGGUCUUGCUGUCACUUAUAGAUGGAUCCGCGCUGCAUUAGCUAGUCGGUAAGGUAACGGCUUACCAAGGCAACGAUGCAUAGCCGACCUGAGAGGGUGAUCGGCCACACUGGAACUGAGACACGGUCCAGACUCCUACGGGAGGCAGCAGUAGGGAAUCUUCCGCAAUGGGCGAAAGCCUGACGGAGCAACGCCGCGUGAGUGAUGAAGGUCUUCGGAUCGUAAAACUCUGUUAUUAGGGAAGAACAUAUGUGUAAGUAACUGUGCACAUCUUGACGGUACCUAAUCAGAAAGCCACGGCUAACUACGUG
rnacentral:rRNA from 1 species